rnacentral:lncRNA from 1 species
UCUGCCUCUCACAGCCAAGAUUCUGGAAGGAGAUGUCUGCUCUCCUCUUCCUCCUCAACCACUCAUUUAUUCAGCAAGUAUUUAUUUUACACCAGCCUGUGCUGGGGAUUCCAUGGUGAACAAGACCCCCUGGCCCUGCUCUCAUGAGGCUUAUAAUCGGGUAGGGAAGACAGACAUAAAUUAUUAACACAUGCUUGUGUAAUGGCAGUUGCGAUAAGUGCUGCCACAGCCCAACAGCACAGGCCAGUUCUGUUCUGCACUGGUGCACCUGCAAACUUAUUCGUCCUUCGAGGCUCAGCUCACAUGCCACCUCAUCUGUACCACCUUCUCAACACUGCACCGGUACGACAGGGUGGCCCUCUAGGCUCACAACAGCCUUGAGUAUAACUGCUCCCCACAGAGGUUGCAACCUGAGGGUAGAGACCAGAUCACACUCAUCUCAGAGCCUCCAGAGCCCAUUGUGUCAGAGGUGCUCAGUAACGAGUGCCAGUCCCUACCAAGUCUGAGCCAAAGUGGAUGCACGUCUCCAGGCCCUGCCAAUCCGCUGCUUUCUUUUUUCCUUUUUUUUUUAAAUAGCUUUUUGCUUCUUUUUAUCAUUAUAAAAAUAACUUGGGUUAGAAACAACAAUGCGAAUUACUUAUCAGUACUGAAUUGUACCCUUACAAAUGGUUAAGAUGGUAAAUUAUAUGUUAUGUGUGUUUUACCAUAAUUUAAAAAAAUAAUAAUGCAAAGAAUAAGUCCAUAAAAGGAGAAAAAGGGAGAAAGGUCCAUAUUAUCUAGAAAUAAAGGACAGAGGACUUGAUUUAGGCAGAAUUAGAUUAAAAAAUAAGAUGUUUGGGGGCCGCCCAUGGCUGAGUGGUUAAGUUCGAGCUCUCUGCUUCGGCGGCCCAGGGUUUUGCUGGUUCAAAUCCUGGGCGUGGACAUGGUACCGCUCAUCAAGCCAUGCUGAGGCGGCGUCCCCCGUGCCCCAACUAGAAGGACCCACAACUAAAGAUACACGACUAUGUACCAGGGGGCUUUGGGGAGAAAAAGGAAAAAUAAAAUCUUUAAAUAAUAAUGAUAAUAAGAUGGUUGUAUUAGGGAAAUGCAACUCAAAACCACAAUGAGGGAGCUGGCCCAGUGGCGCAGUGGUUAAGUGCACACAUUCCGCUUCAGUGGCCCAGGGUUCUGCGGUUCGGAUCCCGGGUAUGGAAAUGGCACUGCUUGGCAAGCCACACUGUGGUAGGCAUCCCACAUAUAAAAUAGAGGAAGAUGGGCACGGUUGUUAGCUCAGGGCCAGUCUUCCUCAGCAAAAAAGAGGAGGAUUGGCAGCAGAUGUUAGCUCAGGGCUAAUCUUCCUCAAAAACAAAACAAAAAAAACACAAUGAGAUACUACUUCACACCCUUUAGGAUGGCUAUCAUAAAAAAAAUAGAAAAUAGCAAGUGUUGAUGAGGAUGUGGAGAAAUUAGAACUCUUGUGCUUUGCUGGGGGGAAUGUAAAAUGGUGUUGUUGCUGUGUGAAAUGGUGCGGUGUUUCCUCAAAAAAUUAAACAUAGAAUUACCAUAUGAUGCAGCAAUUCCAAUUCUGGGUAUACACCCAAAAGAACUGAAAACAAGGACUCAAAGAGAUAUUUGUACACCCAUGUUCAUAUCAGCGUUAUUCACAAUAGCCAAAAGGUAACAAUCCAAGUAAAUGUUCAUUGACAGAUGAAUGAAUAAACAAAAUGUAAUAUAUACACACAAUGGAAUAUUAUUCAGCUUAAAAUGGAAUGAAAUUCUGCCACAUGUUGCAACACGGAUGAACUUUGAAAACAUUAUGCUAAGAAGUGAAACAAGGCACACACGAAAGGACAAAUAUUGUAUGAUUCCACUUAUAUAAGGUACCUGAAGUCGUCAAAUUCAUAGAGACAGAAAGCAGACUGGUGAUUGCCAGUGGCUGGCAGUAGAGGGGAAUGGGGCAUUAGCUUAAUGAGUUUGGAGUUUAUGUUGAAGAGGAUGAAAAAAUUCUGGAGCUGGGUGAUAGUGAUAGCUGCACAACAGUGUGACUGUACUUAAUGCCAUUGAAUUGCACACUUAAAAAUGGUAAAAAUGGUAAAUUUUAUAUUAUGUAUAUUUUACCAUGAUAAAAAAAAGUAAUUUGGGUGUAUUAUGGACAUUUUGGAAACUAUUGGUAAGCACAAGGGGAAAAAAUUUAAAUCAUUCAUAAUCUUACCAGCUAGAGAGAGCUGCUGUUAAACUUUGUGUGUAUCUUUCAUUCCCUUCUUGUUCUCUCUCUUAAAAAAAAAAAAAAUAUAUAUAUAUAUAUAUGUAUACAUCUAUCUUUAGAGACCACAUUGGACCCAUUGGAAGUCUCCUCCUCACAUCUCUCUCUCUCCCCUGUUCUCAGUGAUGCUGCUUCCUCCCUUUGAGCCACUCAGAAUAAGUCUGUCACUGUUCUGGACAUCAUUUCUUUGAACAAUUUCUCACACCUAAUUUCAACUCCCCUGCACCUCCAGGCUUUCACUUCUCUCAAAAUGCCCAUUUCUUCCGUGUGUCUGAAAACAUGGUAGCACAGCAGUCCCAGUAAUGAGUCAGAAGGGGCUGGAGAAAAGAAUGAGUGCCUCUCCCAGCUUCUCAGAGGCUGAACAUCUUAGAAAUGUCCAUGUGAGCGUGUCGGCUCUCUUGGAUAAUACAGUCAUUGUUGUGGUUCCUGCGGAGGUUACUGACAACUAAACCCCUAAGUCUGUGGGUCCAGGCUGUGCUUUGACCAGGUUCCCGUGCCCUGCCUGGGGGCCCUUGCUUCUUGGACCUGGUGCUGGACCUCGCAUUAUCCCUGUUGAUUCUAGCUCCUAGAUCUGGCUUCUACAGCCUGUCAGGAGCCUGUGACCUCAUGGCCCAAAGAGCAGAUCCACCCUGUCCUCUUUGAGGGAGCUUGGAAAGGAGUGAGGGUUCCAUGGCCUCUGAUCCCUGCUGGGCCUUGGGGAGGAGCAGCUGCUUCCUCUCUUCCCUUCAUGAGAAGUGGGCCUCUCCUUCAUCUCAGGCACCAAUCUGCCAUGCACAGCGCUUUGCCACGUGGUCCAGGAGUCAGAGCAUAGGCAGCUUCAUCAGCAGCUGGAGGUAAAGCAAGAAGCCACAGCCACUCAGGUGACUGAAGUCCAUUUCUGUGCCCACUGAUUAGAGAUGAAUGGUGCCUUCAUUUGCCUCCAGAUCCAGCUACAGACACAAGACCGCUCUCUCUCGGUUUUGAGGUCUCCACAGAAGGGUUUAUUCAAGGUUUCAGCCAGGACCUUUACAGCCCAGUCCUGAGAGGAUUAGGUUUUUAUUGCAACUUUCCAUUAAUGAUUGAUCUAAAACUGAUACUAGAAACACUGAAGAACAAAUUUGCCCUAGAGAUUAGGAAAGGUCUACAUCUGCCAGGCUUGGGGACCUGCCCACCUGCCCCCUCCAAGGUCAAACCAGGGCAAGGGUACAUUGGAAGACCCACCUCACACACAGUCACACACACACACACACACACACACAGAGGCUCGC